rnacentral:rRNA from 1 species
UACGAAGGGGGCUAGCGUUGCUCGGAAUCACUGGGCGUAAAGGGUGCGUAGGCGGGUUAUUAAGUCAGAGGUGAAAUCCUGGAGCUCAACUCCAGAACUGCCUUUGAUACUGAUAGUCUUGAGUAUGGGAGAGGUGAGUGGAAUUCCCAGUGUAGAGGUGAAAUUCGUAGAUAUUGGGAAGAACACCAGUGGCGAAGGCGGCUCACUGGCCCGUAACUGACGCUGAGGUGCGAAAGCGUGGGGAGCAAACAGGG